UCUGUCCAUUCAGAAGCAAACAUG
rnacentral:siRNA from 1 species